rnacentral:misc_RNA from 1 species
GUACGAGUCGCGUUUUAACUUUUUUUCUGUGUGUGUGUGUGUGUGGACUUUACCUGGACUUGUGGAGCUGUGUACCAGGAACUGCGUCGCCUGGAAUUCAUCGAGGACCACUGCGAGCUUCGUCGUCGGCAUCGUAAUUGCUUCAACUUGGCUGCUAGACCAGAGUGCACAUGGACCAGCCGUGGCUUCGCGCUCAAGCGUUAUUCGAGCGCUGACGUACUGACACGCCCCGUGCCACACCGGCGUAUCUUGCGCACUGUAUAUCGCCGACGGGAGUCCUGAUGGCGGACGUGCUCCCGGCAUUGGAUCGAGAGCGCAGACUGUCUUCACACGUCCCCUGCGCCACAACGGCAGAUCUUCCUGGCGGGUAUCCUCCUGACACUGCCUCAACUCUACAAACUUUGUGCCGCCGGGUCUAGCAACAGUAGAGGAGGUCAUCGUCAACGAGUUUCAAUGCUGGCAACGC